ensembl:snRNA U6 U6 spliceosomal RNA
GUGUUCAUUUUGGCAGCACAUAUACUAAAAUUGGAAUGAUACAGAGAUUCCCAUGGCCCCUGCACACUAAAUAAAAUAUAUAUCUAGAUACAGAUACAGAUAUAU